rnacentral:rRNA from 1 species
UACGUAGGGUGCGAGCGUUGUCCGGAAUUACUGGGCGUAAAGAGCUCGUAGGCGGUUUGUCGCGUUGUCCGUGAAAACUCACAACUCAAUUGUGGGCGUGCGGGCGAUACGGGCAGACUGGAGUACUGCAGGGGAGACUGGAAUUCCUGGUGUAGCGGUGGAAUGCGCAGAUAUCAGGAGGAACACCGGUGGCGAAGGCGGGUCUCUGGGCAGUAACUGACGCUGAGGCGCGAAAGCGUGGGGAGCGAACAGG